rnacentral:lncRNA from 1 species
CUGGAACUUCAUCCCACAGAAACCCUUGUACAUGUGUACAGAGAUAGUAGUAUGAAAUAUUUGUAUUCACUUAAAGUGGAAAGACAAUCUGCACACCUGGAGGAGAUAUUUGCAACAUUUACAACUGGCAAAGGUUUAUUACCAAGAAUAUAUAAAGAAGUCUUAUAAAUCAACAAGAAAGAAGAAAAACAACAGAAAGAAAUGGACAAAAGAAAAAGCAUUUUAUAAAAGAAGAAAUGCUCAUGGCCAGCAAACAUAUGGAGAUGUUCAAACUCAUGUGAAAUGUAAAUCAAGACCCAAUAAGAUAAGCUUUUAUGUCCACUAAAAUGGCAAAAUGUUAAUAGCUAGACAAUCCAAGUAUUGGAGAACAUACAGAUCCAUGGGAUCUCUUACAUAUCGCUUAUAAGGGUACGCAUUAGGACAUAGGACACUCACUUAGAAAAAGUGUGGCAUUAUCUUGCAAAAUCAAACACUCACAUAGGCUGCUGUGCAGGUCCUGAGUCUGUUUGCCCUCAGAUCCACUCUUUGCUAUGCCCUUAUGUCCUCAGUUUUCCAGCAGGAUCUCGGCAGCCAUGUCAUCUUGCUUCCAGUUGGGCUCAGUUAAUAAAAGAGAGAGAAUGGAAGGUGGAAAGAAGGGAGAAGCCAAGGUGUUUCUCACCAGCACCCUCCCCUUCUCCUCUCAGGUAACAUCCCCUGUGGUGGCCACAGCUCUCCGAUGGGUCCAGUUCCCACAGGAAAGCCAGCCAUGAUUCUAACUUCUACCAGGUGACCCUGGCCCUGGGCUCUGGUGACACUAACCUUUUGUUUCUCUAGUCCUGGGGAGGGGUAGUAACAGCUUCCUGCUAUUAUUAAUUUAUGGAUUGCCUCAUUGCCUCCUGUGAGGCUUCUCAGCUAUUGAUUACCAUACUACUCAGCAAUAAAAAGGAAAAAACUAUUGAUACAUGCAACAACUUUGUCGGACCACAAGAGAAUUUUACCAACUAAAAAAGCCAGUCUCACAUUGUUACAUACUAUAUGAUUCCACUUACAUAACCUUCUAGAAAUGACAAAAUUAUUGAGGUGAAGAACAGAUUAGUGGUUGCCAAGGGUUAAAGACAGGGUUGGGGUUGGAGAAAGAAAUCAGUGUACCUAAAAAGAAGCAGCCAGAGGGAUCUUUGUGGUGACGGGACAGUUCUGUAUCUUGAUUGUGGUGGUGGUUAUACAAAUCUACGUGUAAUAAAGUUUUAUGUGUGCAUAGAACUAUGUACAUACUCAAACAAAUGCAUGUAACCCUGGUGAAAUCUGAAUAAGGUCUGUGGAUUGUGCCAAUACCAGUGACCUGGUUUUGAUACUGUAUUAUAGCUAUCUAAGACAUUAUUAUCAGGAGAAAAUGGGGGAAAGGUACAUGUACUUUUCUGUACUAUUUUUGCAACUUCUCGUGAAUCUGUUACUAUUUCAAAAUUAAAAGUAUCUGAAAA